rnacentral:rRNA from 1 species
CUCGAAGUCGUUUUGCGGGUGGAUUCAGUCGGGAGUCUACGAUCCUCUCUCGGUACGUGACCUCGCCUAAUUGGGUACGAGGGACUCCGGUGCAGAGGCGUGACUCAUAGGGGCCCGACGCAUUUCCAACCCGCACUUGUAGGACGCCGCAGCCGGUUGGGUAGCUGCGCGUGUCGGCCAUGAGGACGAGCGGUGGCAGUAGACCGUUUCUCGCUAAAAAAGUGGCGUUUGCCGGUUGUUUAGCCAGCCCGUCCGUGGCGCGACACCCGACCGAGGAAGAAGGGGUCCACUAGAUGGACCUCGCCGUUCCUAUCUCUGUAUAACCAUAUGCGAGAGCGGGCCGGCGGACAGGCGAGAUGCUGCGCCAUACCGCUCUAGUCACCGAACUGGGUGGUGCGUAGUGUCCGCUGGUGGUCCGUUGCGGUUAGACCGCUAUGGGGAUAAUUCGAUGGCUUGUGGCGAGUAGGUCGGUCACCCACCCGACCCGUCUUGAAACACGGACCAAGGAGUCUAACAUGUGCGCAAGUCAUGGGGUCUUGUUCAGGCCCAGAGGCACAAUGAAAGUGAUGCCCGAUGUCUCGAUUCGAGACAUCCGAAGUUGGGAUUUCCCGAGGAGUUCUAGCCCGAGGAAAGCACCAACGACCCGCCCUGUUCUUGUAUAAUAAAGUGUGGACGGCGUUUGAGCGCACACGUUGGGACCCGAAAGAUGGUGAACUAUGCCUGGGCAGGACGAAGCCAGAGGAAACUCUGGUGGAGGUCCGCAGCGGUU